rnacentral:lncRNA from 1 species
UCAACUAGUAAUGCAUCCCAUUAAUAAAUCUUAUACAAGAUCCCAAUAUCAUCAUUCAAUAACCAACAUAGUAAAAUAUCUAAUUAACUAAUAUAACACUCCACUUAAUAAAUCCUUGACAAAACCCUCUUUUCGCUCAUCAGGAAGCCUAAAGAAAACCACCAUCCUCCUCACGAGCAAGCUCGCACAUGACCUUGUUACAUUCACUAUCAGUUAGACCGGACACAUUACUCAAACACAUUAUUGAGAUUUUUGCGUUGCUCAUUUAAUGAAGCCUCCAUUCCAAGAAAGUUAGCAAAUUGAGUAGAUGAUUCAACACAUCAUUUGUUCGAUCAUUUCUGCAGCCGAUAGAGAAUCUUUCCCAGUUGCUCUAUCCUUGCCAAACAUAUAACAUAGAUCCAAAUAAUUUAGAAAUGUCUUAUUCUGCCACUUUGCUCUCUUUUGGUGCACCUAAAACAAGUUAGAGAAAAGGUCAUCAAAAAAGUUACAAGCAAGACAUAUAUAAUAGUACACAAACCCCUUAACUUAAAUAAACAAUUAAAAAGAAUCUAGCUGGAGUAGUCAGACAACAAAUUUCACACAACCAUGAAAACACCACUCACUGGAUGUCUCCUAACCCCAGAACUUUUGAUUAUCAUAUGCAACAUGAAUAUCCAGACUAUACUAAUGCACCAGGAAUAUCCAAACAUAUACCAAGGCAUAUAAACAUCACAAUGGCAGAGCAAAAAACAGAGGGAUAAGCAAUUAAAAUAUCACAGUUGAUAUCACACAACUGCAGGUACACAGUAAAAAAUAAAGUAUAAGCACUUAAGUCUACAGUUUAAAAUGAAAAUGCCCAAAACUAAUUUUGCUACUGCAAACACAAUGUACCACUUUUAAUACAUAUAUGGCACUGGCACAACACUACAAUGCAUCCCAUGAAAGAUGAAACUGCAAUGGAACUAAAAUUUCAUUGAAUAUACACAUGUAGUAGUUGCACAUAAAAUAUAAACACACACACACACAUAGAUAUAAACUUCUCGUGAUUAAUGCAAAUUGCUAAUUAGAUUUAUAAUAGAAACCCUUGAUCUUCACAUAAACCAAACAACCAAGUAGCUGAUUAACAAUUUCAAAAACAAAAUGAACUGAAGCCUGAAAGUGGGACUUGGUCAUAGAAUUUCAACAAAUGAACAUUACAUCCGAAGCAUACCAUAUUUCCAGUUAAAGUUCUUAAACAAAGUACACUGUUACAACAGAAAAAUGUUGAUAUCGCAGCAGCUAAACUAAACUAAGUAUGGCAAAAUAAAAUCAAUGAAAGUUGAAACAUAAAAGAGCUAUCAAAUUUAUAGUAGUAAAAUGAGUUUACCUGGUGUAAUUGUGAAAAUAUAUACACAUCCCAUGCCAUUCAAAUCUGUAAAUUUUAGUAUGCUACAAAAUUGUUUCAUUUGUUAUGUUAAAUUCAUAAAUUGAGUCCACAAUUUCUAUCAAUAUCCAAUUAAUUUACAUGAAACUCAUCGAAUAUCAUCAGAAAAAAAUAAAAAGGAGAAAAAAAAUCAAGUCUAAAUCCACUGAAGAAGGAAGACGAACUAGAACAAAUUACUUGUCAUAAAAUAACAAGUCAAAAUCACCACAAAAUCAAAGCAAAAAAUACGAUCAAAAAGUUUAUCUCCAUUUAUAGAUGGAUAUAUAUCAAUAAUCAAAAAUCAUACCAGAAUUAUAAAGAGACUUGGAAGCGAUUUGAUUCAAUUCAAAGCUUUGGAAGAACUUGAUAAUUACCUGAUAAAUAGAAAGAAAGAAAAAAAACGAAUAGCCAAGGAUCUGAGAUCUGAUAAAUUUGAGAUGAAAUCAAUCUGUGAUUUGUGGUCAUGUACCGAUCUCAUCCAAGGAUCGAUCUCUCAUCUUCUCUCUUCGAUCGAUCGAAUAUACAAUCGGUAAAAGUCCUAUAUUUUAGAGGGGUAUUACUGUCAAUUGAAUAAAAUUAGUGGAUGAAAUGGUUUAUUCUGGACCCCUUGUCCCUUGACAGGAAUGAAAAAUAUUAAGUAGAUUAUCAUUCCAGUAGGAAUAUAUCAUUCCAGCAGGAAUAAACAAACCAAACAGCCUUUUGCAUUCCAUUCUCCCUCCUAUUCCACCGAUCCAAACGUAGCAUUAAUUAAUUAAGGAUUGAUCCGGUGAGUUUUUCAGUUGGAAGAUCAGUUUUUUAAUUGAAAGAAUUGCUUUUCCGUUUUGGUAUGGGAUCUACCGUAACAAAGAAUGUUAUUAUCAAACAAGUUCCUUCCUCGGGGAACAGCUGCUAUUACAGUAAGCCAGACCACAAAAUCCGCCUAAAUAGAGGCCGCUUGACCAGAGAAAUCACUGUUUGAGAGCGGAUUGUCAGCAGACUGAGCGGAUUCGUAUUCUUUGUGCAAGUGGAAUAUGUGAUGAAUUUAAAGGUGUGACAAGUUUUUGAGGCAGACGAAAAAGAAAAGGAAAAAAAAGAAAACAAGAAAAAGAAGAGGGGAAGAAAGCUUCUGUGUUGUAUUGGAUUUGCAGAACCCUAGUAUAUGGAGCAUGGAUGGAGGCUCUUUUCCAAUCUUUACCUCACCUAGCAUGAACGCAGGGGCGAUGCCCAUUUUUCUUGUUGUAUUAUAAUUUAAGUUAAAUUUGUUCCAAACUAAAAAUCUGUAACUUAUAUAAAACUAGCCGUAUUACCCGUGACGAAGGGUAUGAGAGAUUGUCGGCGCUAGAGAAUGGAGGAGGCAGAGGGCGAGCUCGGGAGGAAGAAGAACGGAGAAGGAUCUGAGAGAGAGAGCAAUUUUUUAUCCUUUGAAGAGGAUAUAAUGGACGGUAAGAUUUAUCCCAAAUUUUUAAAUUUUCUAUUCUUUUCUAUUGAUAACUCAGAAACAACCCAAAGGAAAACUUAAAGUUUUCUAUUAUUUUCUUUUCUGUUUUAAUUUAAGUUUUCUAUUCUUUUAUUUUCUGUUCAAAACUCAGAAACAGUGUAAAAGAAUGCGAGUGAAUUUGGGCAAUCAAAUCCAAUGGAAAAGGAGUUGAACAAUUGUGGCCAAACAAACCAAUGAUUUGUGAGAAUGUUCUCGUGCGAAGAACAAAUUAAAUCCAGAAACAAAGCCACAGCUGCUAUAUUACAGCACUUCCACGGGUCAAGUGUAUAGCUGCUAUAAUGAAGAGGACUAAUGAAUAAGUACAGGCAGAGGAACAUCAAUGGUUAUUCCAAUAUGUUUACAAAAGGCCAAACAGUCUCUGUACAUAGAAGGAAGCAAUUAACAGCUUGCUUGCUAUAGCUCUUCAACUUCAAAGUCAAAACUGCAUCAUUGGCAGUCUUAACAAAGUGAAGUUGAGUUACUUUCUGAGGCUUCACUGAGGACAAAUAUUUCCUGGAAUAUGUAUAGGCAAAGGAGUGGGGAUUUCCUACACUGAAAAAGUUAAGUAGAACCCUACAUCUUGCAGACAAUACUUGAACCACCAUUCUAACUGGUCAAUAGCAAAUGUAAAAGUAAUCAAUAUAUUAUUUAUAGAACUUGCAAUAAAAAGAAUAACUUGUUAACACAAAUUAAAAGAAUAAUGAGUAUAAUUUGGACGAAAGAUAUUAAGGAAACUAAGUUAAUAAGGAUUUAAAUGGAACAUAUUUCACCAAAUACACUUUGGUACUGUCAAGAUAAGAGAAAAAAUGCAGCAACCCAACGAGUAAAGAUACAUUUGCAAGGGUCCAAAAUGCUUCUAUUUACAGAUUCUCAAGUUGAAACUAACCGGAGAAGAGGACUCUGAACCACAGUAAAGAACUUUUAUUCCGCUUCUGAAGCUUGUGGCUAUCCAAAUAUUUGCAAUUGUUAAUGUAAUCUUAUGAUCAGGUCUUCAGUUUAACAAUAAAAGCCCUAGACAAGAUACUGAAUCUCCCCUCUUCGAGAUCAUAUCCUACAUAACUUUGGGUUUGCUAAUGAUUAAUGAGUUAACUCAACAGAACAAAGCUUUUUAUUCCAAAUUAGUUGGGGUAGGCUGAAGAUAAAUCUCAUAUAUGAGAGUAAAAGAUGAAAAAUAAAAAGAUAAAACAUUUAAAAAUAAGAAAAGAUUAAAAAACAAGAACAACAAAAAUAGAUUGUAACAUCCCCUUCCCGAAAAGAAAACGGAGGCCACAUGCAAAGUACAAUAACAUCAAAAUAAAUAAACAGAGCACCAAUAACUUCAAAUAUAAAUACCAACAAUAACAAAAUCUCCAAAUUCUAAACAAGAUAUAACUGAAUUAUACAGAACUAACGAAUCAAAACAGAAGGUUGAAUCAAAGUGGUUAAGUGGUUAUUUCAUACUAAGCUAAGAAAAAAAUAGAAAUAUACGUUGCCACAGGCAAAUCACACAUUGGACCGCGAAUCCAAAUUUAUGGAAAUCGAAAAGUGUCUUCGACAAAACAUCACAAAUCCGCAAAACAGACUAGAAAACUAUAGUCGACCCAUAUGCAUCCUGAACAAAUAUAUCAAAUGCCCAAAACUCAAACUUAGAGCGUACAAAAGGAUACGACGUGGAUCACACCUCCACGGAACGUGUCAUGCUUCAAUGUCAAGAGAACAUGUUUGUGGUACCCCUGGUGGUUAUAGCUCAAGUAUACCCUAUCGCUUAUUCUACCAAACAUAUAGUGUCACAAUACAUGCGACACAAUACUAACAAAAAGGUACUAAUUGUACAUGUUGAACCAAAUCAAAUCAUAACAAACUGUCUCCAAAAUAAGAUAAUAAUAUGUACCGCUCUACAAGAUCAAAACAAAGUUCUAUGCUAAAAGAGUACAAAUUACAAAGUUCGAAACAUCAAGACCAAAAUGAAGAUAAGAAUUCAACUAAAAAUGAAACAAAUAAACAAGUACCAAAUUAUGAAUGGUUAGCAAUAUAAAUAAAUCAACAUAAUAAGAUAAUAAGAGUAUCAAUGAAGAAAUAUGAAAUUUGUACCAAGUUAUACUAGAAGUGAAAAGGUUCAAAUUAGAAAAUAAAUUCAAGGUAUCAAAUAUCAAAUUUCUAUUCAAGAGUGUCAAUGAAAAUAUAAGAAAGAAGUUACAAAUGACGUGAUAUCAGGAGAUAUAGAGAAUACAAGAAUAAUAAAAGAAGCGGAAUACAAAAUUCGUACCUUAUAAUCAAAUCCACUUGUAGAACACUUUACAAAAUUUUAAUUUCAAAUACCAACUAUAUCAAAUACGAAAUUUUUUGCACCACCUAAACAUAUUCACCCCAAAUUAAGUAUACAAAUCAAACUAACAAUUUCAAAACACUUUUUAAUCUAUCCAAGGUGCCAUUAAUUAUUCGCCUAAGCUCAUUAUUAAUACCCUGAAGCAUUAAAAUUAAUAACAAAAGUUAAGGAAUCUCAAAAUCUCAAUUUGACAAAGUUUCUAAAAGACCUCAGUUCACUAUUCUGGUCAUAACCCACUUAAUUUAGAAUCAUUGAUCAAAUUUGUAAAAUUUAACAAAAACUAGACUUCAAGUACUCCGAUUUAACCUCAAUAAUCACCCAAAUCGAAUUUAAAAUCAUUAAGUUAUCCGUUUUUAAAUAGUAAAAAUUGACUGGUGAAAAUUCUGUUAUUAAAAUUCCAGAUCAACCAUAUCUUAAAAUUCAUAACAAAUAAAAAAUUAACUUUAACGGUUCAAAAUUGGUUAAAAUAUUCUCAGCUUAUAUAAGUAUAACAUAUUCAAAAUUUAUAAUGAUCUAACGGUUGGAAUAGGAGAUAUAACCCACGCAAUAGACCUUAAAAUAUAUACAAAUUUUCUGAUUUUAACUUUUGCAUUCAAUCAAAUUAUAUUCUUCUAUAUAAAUUCAUCUCCUCUUUCUGAUUACCAUGACUUAUAAUUUUAUGUCUAUAUUUUGUUUAAAAACAAUCUCUAAUUUAAAACCCACAUAUCAAAACUUAAAAACAUAAUACAAAAUAAAAUUUACCUUCCUUGUUCGUUUUAAUUUCUACAAAUUGCAAUAGCAAAGAAUCUUCAUUUCGAGUCUUCUAGAGUUUUUAAACUCUCUUAAUAUAUUUUCAACAUUGUAGCUCUCGGAAAAAUACACGAAAUAGGCUCAAGAAUCACUUGAUUUGGAGUUGGUACGACGGAGUUCUGUUUUGUUCAAAGUUAGGGCUGAAAAUAGUGACAGGAAUCAAGACACAUUACGGUUUUCAUCGAUUUAAGACAAGAAAGACCGUGUCAAAUAAUUUUUCUUCCUCUCUAAAAUUAAAAAGGACAAAAAACUUAAGAAAUAGGAUUUGGAUUCACUCAAUUCCGAUAUUAGAUGAAUUAAUUGUGAUUUUCUAAGGUGUUUGCAUAACACAUAAGAAUUUUAGGCGGAAAUCCAACUAAGAGAGUUAGAAUAGGAUUAGGGUUUCAUAUUUCACUCAUUAUAAAUAUAAGAACGAAACAAUAUAAGAGUUACGGAAACCCUAAUGGAGUCCUUAAUUUCAAUUAAUUAAUUAUAAACUAAAGAAUAUUAAUCUUUAUAAAAGAAAUAAGAAAAAUAAAUAAAUAAAUAAUAGUAACUUACCUUUUCAAUUCAAUUGUACUUUUUAAGAAAAUUAAAUCAACAUUUAAUUAUUAAAAAAAUUUGGGUUAUUACAUACAUGGGAAAAUAUGAAAUAAAAACAUUCAUAUACAUAAAUAUACAUAAUUAUAAGGCCUAAAAUAAAAAAAUAAAAGGAUAAAAUGAAAAAAGGGUAGGAAAAGAGAAUUCUUUUUAUAAAUAAGGGGAGAGAGAGAGAACCCUUCAAUCUGCGGAUUGCAGUCCUUCACACCUAUCAAAGGCCAUGUACUCUGUUAUAUACUGCUCCUUUUAAGUCUUUUCAGCAUACCCGUCCCUCUUCUUGCAGCUUCUUCAUAGUACAGGACUCAUCUUCCGCUACACUACAAUAUAUCGAUUUUGAAUAUGACCUAACUAUCACAACCAAUAUUCCUUCAUCUUCUCCUCAAUCGGUGUUACCCCACCAUUUAUUCAAAUAUCCUUGUUUCUGAUUCUAUAUAAUCUUCUAUGGCUAAAUUAUAUCCACCUUAAAAUUAUCAUUUUAGCGGCUACAUCUCAUACAUAUUUCUUGGUCGACCAACAUUUAAUUCCUUAUAACAGUAUUGGCGUCAACAAAAUAGAUCUCCCUUGCAUAAAUCCAAACUGUUUAUCAUACAACAUGUUUCUUGGUCGCCCAACAUUCAAUUCCAUGCACGGAUAGGUUAUUUAUCACCCUUUUUUCUCCUCAAUCUAUACUUCUAAACCUGUUCUACAUCAUUCUAUAAUUAGAGCCAAACCUGGAGAUUUAACUUUUCUUGUUCCUACCCAAUUUUCUAGCCUCUAUCUUUUACAAACUUCACUAGAGAGUCGGCAUCAAUUCGUAGUUGAAACUUUAUUAGAGUUACAGCAUCUGUACUGUUUUAUCUUCUUCAUGUCAUCCUAAAACCCUAGCCUUCACACCCCCCUCUGCUGCCAAAACCUUACCCAAAACCCUCAAUUAAGAAAACAUUACAUAGCUGCUAUGAUCACCCCCACAUCUAUACACAAAUCAGUCCCACAGUAGCUCCACCACAUCUACACAUGAGCAGCCCAGAUCUAGCUCUGAUCUCUCAAUUCAAGUCAUCAACAACACCAUUGUUGACCAGCGAAAAGGAGAAACAGUAAUAAAAGGUAAAAAUGCGAAGAGAAAGGAAUUUCCGCCACUACUGGAGCCUUCACCGUCAGAAACCUUGCCGCCAGUGACAAAGUGAAAGGACCUAGGAUUUUCAUGGAGUGGUAUCACCAUUUUCACUAAAAGAAAAAAAAUUAGGUGUAUAUAAUAUUAAAAAUUUAUCGAUAGUUUUAUACCCUUUGAUUUUUAUUAUUUUUUUUGUUACAUCAGUUUACCUUCAUAGUAAUGUAGCGCAACUUAUUAUUCAGAAAAAAAAAGAAUACAACUUUUAAAUAUAGUAAACUAUUUGCAAUGAAAUGCAUAACUAUUUAUUUCUCAGUUUUAAGAAAAUACAAAUAACUAACAUUUUUAGUGAACUUAGUUAUGUAACAUCAUAAUGCAAAUUAUGUUCGCUCAUGAGAAAGAAACAAUCAAAAUGUUAUGAGACUAGAUAAUGUGUGUAAAUAAAUGAAGGAAACAUAAAAUAUAAGCUAUAUAAUGAAAUGACAAAAGAAUUUAGUAAGUCAACUGAUAUCUUAAUCUUAAUCAAAUAUAAUUUAUAUUCGAACAAAUUAUAACCCCGUUUCACAAUAAUUAAAAAAAUAAUUUUUAAAGUCAAUUGAUAUUUUAAUAUUUAAAAUCGAUGUGAUUCCUGAAGUUUUUUUAUUAAUACACGCUUUAUUCCAAAUUAGAUAUACAUUUUCUUUUAAGCCAUACCCAAACAAGAAAAAAAGACGAGAAAUAUCUAUAUUUUAGGAUUAUAUAGUAUUAUAUAGUGACAUAAUAUUUUUAAUGUCAUUUAUUAUUAUUAUUUAUAGCAUCACACCACGUGCCACUGCUUCCAUUAUCAUCGCUAGUGAUUACCCAUGUUGGAACCAUCAUCAUCCACCACAACCAAACUGAAUGCCUAUUAGAAUCUUCAUUGCACCAGUGGUGCGUAAUUGAGAAAACCUAGACCUGUUUUAGACAAAAUUUAUGUUUGAUACCUCAAAGUUUACAAACUUUUUAUUUUAGCUCCCUAAAUUGUCAAAAGUUUUAACAUAGUCCAUAAAGUUUCAUUCUUCUAAAAAAAAUUCAAUUAGAAGCUUGUAGAGUAAAAAAAAUCUGUCCAAAAGAGAAAGGGCAAAAAAAUGUCUUAUCUUGAAACUCCAAAGUUCCUUUGCACUCAAAUUGGACAACUUAAGUGAGCAACACAAGCAACUCAAAAGGUUUAUUCGUCCAUCUGGUUUUAGUUGCUAAAGGUUGUUUUACAUGUUGAUUUUGUUUUUCAAGAGUACAUUUGAUUCUUGAGUUAUUUUGAUGUUCUCUACUUUGCAAACAUUUGUUUUGGGAACAUUUGAUCAUAAAAUUGGACCAAAGGAUUCACAAUUUUUCUCAAACGACUUGUUGUCGUCUCAUUCUCCAUCACAUCAAAACUCCAGCACAAGUUUUGACGAGGACGGAAGCAAAAGAAAUUAAAUAUUAUUAGAUUAUUAUUAUUAUUUAUGGAUGAUUCAAUAUAAUUACUUUAUUUAGUAGAUAAGAUUAGGAUAUAUAUAUAUAUAUGUAUAUAUAUAUAUAUAUAUAUAUAUAUAAUUACAUUAGUUGAAUAAUCUAGAAUUUUUAUUUUUAACAGCGGAUUAUUAGCCUCAAAGUAUUAGGGUCAUAUAUAAACAGUUGUAAUAUAUUAUAAUAAUUAUUAUUGAACGGUUGAUAUUAUUGAAUUUUAAGCCUUUUGCUUGUGGCUUUUAGCCUAUUUAUUUUCUUUGAAUCCCUUUUAUUUAUCCCCUAUAUUUUUUCCUACAUUAUAGUGGUAUCAGAGUCUGGUUCUUAAUAUAUUUUAAUUUCAUCCAAUUUCUUCUUACCCUAAUUGUCUGGCCUCCAUCAAUUGUCAAAAUUUGAUAUUGUUGACAACAUCAUCCGAAAUGAAAACUUAAUCUCAAAUUUAUCUCAAGCACACCAAAAAAAAAACACCAAAAAAAAAAACUGCUACAGUAUGCAUAAUAUUAUUCAUUCAUGGCAAAAUUAUAGAUUGGUACCCUAAGUUUUCCAAAAUUGUCAAUUAGCUCCCAAAGUUUUUGAAUUUUUAAUUUAGCCCCCAUAGUUUCUUAAGAUUCUAGUAAGCCCCUUAAGUUUCUAAAAAAAAUCUGAUCAAUCCGUAAAGUUUAAAAAAAAAUUCAAAUUCGUCGAGGUUUCUGAAAAGUUCAAAUCAACCCUUAAAAUUUCAGUUUUUGCCAAUUUAGCCUUGAAUUAUUAAAUUUCUUCAUAGAAUUGGAUAUCCCGAAACUUUGCAUUGAGGAUUCUUCAAACGUGACUACUUUUCAUACUUUUCGUCAUUGUGGAUGAAAAUUGCGUAAAAUUAUCAUUGAAGAGGAAUGUGCAAUUAAUGUUGUGCCUCCACGUGCGAUAGAAAGCUUAAAACUUGUUGAACCGCAUCCAAGGUAUUACAUUAUUCCUUGGUUAGUUAAUACUUUUCUUCAUGUUUCAAAAAGAUGCUUAGUUCUCAUCCAAAUGAACAUAUAUUUUGAUAAAAUAUGAUGCGAUGUUAUACCCAUAAAUGUUGCACAUAUUUUAUUGGAUCAAGAUUGCAUUGAAUGCUUAAAUGGGGAUAUGAAAAAGGUGAUACAUAUUCUUUUGAACAUGGGCAUUAUUUUACUAAAUUAAUUCCAUUCAAAACUGAGGAGAAAGUUCAACAAGAUGCAGUGAAACAGCCGAAUAAAGAAUUCUGCAACUUAAUGACAAGUGACAUGAAUAUAAAGUUGAAACGAAUAUACGAGCGAGAUUGAGAAAAAAGUUGAUGAUGUCUUCUCAAAGCAACUUGAUAUUCAUAUCCAACGAUAAAAAUGAGAGCUCUAACAAGAUGAAAUACAAGGAAGUUCUCUCCUUAUUGUUUUUAACUUAUCAAUGUCUACAAGGAAUAUCAAAAUUUCUUGCAUGUUUGGAGCUCGGUUUGUAGACUGUAAAUUCUUCUAUACUUCAAAACUCGAGGACGAGUUCUUUUCAAAGGAGAGAAUGAAGAGGAUGGAAGCAAAAGAAAGUUAAUAUUAUUGGAUUACUAUUAUAUACUAGUAUUUGUGGCACACACUAUGUGUGUGCAAUUCAACUAAAUAAAUAAAUUUAAAAUAAAAAUUAUAAAAUGAGUGAGAAAAUAUAGGAGAGAUGAAAGAGAUAAGAAAGUUAUUUUCAUUGCUCUCCCUUAAUAGUAUAGAUUAUUAUUGGGUAAAACACAAAUGUGGCCACUAAACUUUAGGUGUUUUUGGGUACUGAGCCCUUUUCUUUUGGUCAACGCAAAUCGAGCUCCUUUCUGUUCGAAAAUUUGGAUAUUGAGCCCCAGGCGCCACAUGUGCGUUGACUGCCUACGUGGCACGGAUGACGUGGACAUUUUUGCCAUGUGAAACCGCUUACCUGUGCAUUUUCCAAUUAAUAGUUAAAAAACUUAGUUUCCCCAAGAAUCGAACCCAAAACCUCAAAUAUGAAACUUUGAUCAUCAAACCACCUGUGCUACAUAAAAGCUUCAAUUAUUUUAACAAAAGAACUAAGAUUUAUACCAAAUCAAUUCAUUUCCCUCAACAUAAUAUUAAAAGGAUAACAAAUUAAACAAUCAACAUUAAUUAAAAAAUUAAACAAUUAACAUUAACAAGUUUAUAGAUUAAAAUUUAAAAAUUGAAAUUAAAACUAAUUUACAAUUUUUUAAAAGGAUAUAUUUAAAAAUAAGCUUAAAAUUAAAACUUAAAAAUAUCUCAUAUUUAAAAUAUCACUUGAAAUGACAUUUCCAGAAAUUAUAAAACAAAUUAAAAAAGCUUACAAACUAGAAGCAUGGGCUUGUAUAGAAAAUAAAGAUUAUUUAACUAGAAAGGAAGAAUCAACUGCAAAAAAGAAAAGAAUUUUGUGGUGAAUUACGUCCGACAGAUUCAACCCCAAAUCCAGACCCGAAAUUACCAAUUUCAACCCAAAGGAUUGCACACGGAUCUCCAAAUGGCCAAGGAACGAGUAAUCGAAGAAUUCCAAGUGGUAUGUAUCAAAACCUAGAAAAACUAGAAGAUUCUCAACAAUGGAGUUGUUUUCCCUCUCUACUCCACUCUCCUCUCACUCCCUCUCAUCCUUCCCCUCCUCUGUCGGAUCUCUUAAAAUCCUCAAACCCUCUUCUUCCUCUUCAUCUCUCCUCCACCUAUCAAAUCCUCUAUUAUCACUUCCCCAAUAGCCCCUAAACCCACCAACCCCAAAACCCCAACUGACAUAGACUUGCCUGGGAUCUCCCUCCACUUUUUUGUUUCGGCUCCGCAGUCGCCGACGACGGUUAUACGUGGUGCCGAAACCGAUGCUAUGGGGCUUUUGUUGAGGGAAAGGAUUGUGUUUUUGGGGAGUCAAAUUGAUGAUUUUGUUGCUGAUGCUAUUAUUAGUCAGUUGUUAUUGGAUGCAAUGUUCGAAAAAGCUAAAAUCGGUACGAGGCGUUUUUCUCUGGGCUAUGCGAGGCGUAAGCCUCGAGGCGGAGCGAGGCGGAAGCCUUGAUUUAAAGACCUAAAAGUCCCCAAAAAAUUAUGAAAAAAUACUAAUAACAUCAUAAAAUAAUUCAUCAUUACAAUUAAAGUCAUAGAAGACAUAAAUAACCAACGUCACAGUAAUGUAUCAUUACAAAACAUCAAAACAACAUAAUAUCAUCAAGUACUUAUAUAGUGAUCAUCCAUCACUAUGUAAGUAAUGUAUCAUUUGUAUCUAGCGGCUUGAAUAAUGGAUCAAAUCCUAGAUCAUCCCCAUCACCAUCACCAUCAUCACUAUCAUCACUAAGAGGAUCCUCCAUGGAAUCAUCAUCGUAUCUAAUAGCUCUGUCAUCCUCCUCAUUAUCAGUGCUAAGAUCCUCAAACUCAGGUUCUUCAUCAACCAAUUGCAAUCCCUUCCCUUUAUCUAUAAAUAAACAAGUGAAUAUAUAUUUAAUCCAAAUAAAUAUUUUUUUUAAAAAACACUUUAAAGGCAACUUAAGUAAUGACACUAACCUUUUGACAUGGUUUUUGACAGCAAAGUGUUUCUCUUUCUCUUUUGACUUCCUUGUUUACUACUUGUUCCCCGAGUCCCUUGCCCUCCAAUGUAAUCUCCCUCACAUUAGUCUCUUCUGCCCGAACUGUCUUCUCAUUCCCAUGAGUCCUUUCACCCUCCUCCAUAUCAUCAUUCCCAGAAGUCAGUCCCGAGAUAUUUUCAUCAUUUCCCCCCGCAAUCCACUCAUUAUCAGAUGGUACAUUUUCAACAACCAAUGGAUCUUCUUCUUCCGUUAGUGCCUUUUUCUUGAUAUGUCGAUCUUUCAAUUUUUUAUUGUACAUAAUGUAAGCCAAUGAGUUAAGCCUGGAUGCGGACAGUCGAUUCCUUCUCUUUGUAUGUAUCUAUAUUACAAGUAAUUUAGCAUUAGUGACAAUGUCAGAUCUCAUAAAAUCUUAAUAAAUGAUUUAUAUCUAAUAAAUACCUGACUGAAAGUACUCCAAUUACGCUCACACCCCGAAGAUGAGCAAGUUAAACUCAGAAUCUUCACUGCAAAGUUUCUUAACUCCGGAGUUUCAUCUCCAUAUGCGAUCCACCAAUCAGCUGGAUCAAUAUUAAAACAUAUAUCAAUUGGUUGUUGAAUCAAAAUGAAAGCAUAACCAAACAUUAAUCAACUUGACUUACCGGGAGCACGUUUCUUACACGUGUUUUUGGCAUUUGUGUAGCCAAAUAACCCUUGCCUCAAACGGAAUGCAUCCAUUUGCAAAUCAGCUUUCUCUCUUUCCACAGCGUUAGGAAUAAGCUUGGCCAUACAAGAGUACAAUCCCACCUUAACUUCCGCAUUGGCAUAGAAAUUAUCUUCAUAUUGAAACUGAGGAUUCAAAUAAUAUGCAGCAGCGAGCAAAUGCCGAUGCAACUAAUUAUCCCACUUAGCAUCUAUUAUGCUCCAUAUCUCUUUAUAGGCCCCCUCCUCAUUAUCCAGAUUUUUUGCAAUCUCUUCUUUUGCAUUGUCCAUGGCACCAUAUAAAAAUCCCAUUCCCGGCACCUUCUCUAAAUCUGCCAUCCUCAAUACACCUACUAGAGGUUUUGUGGUCUUAAUUGCAUAUCCCACACUACCCCAAAAAGUCCUAUCACUUAGUAUGAUUUUUCUCGCCUCCUUACCUUCAGGUUUUUUUGCCCAAGCACAAUUUGCCCACUCCCUAGAUGUAAACAUAGCCUCCAAAGGCUGUCUCAAACUAUGCAUACUCUGCAAAGUUAAAUAAGCAGUGGAAAAUAUAGUGGCGGCUGGCCGAACAAGGUCUUUAUUAGUGUUUUCCCUCAUCAAUGCCAAGACCCAUCCAUGAUUAUAUAUGAAGUUGCUUACCUACAUAAUGACAUUCAUCAAAAAAUAAUAAUAAUUCAAGUAUUCAUUGAAUAAAAAAAUUAUAACCAAAUAAUAAUAAUAGUAAUUACCUUCUUUGCCUUUGUCAAAGCAUUUUUAUGUUGAGGCAACUCUCCAAGCUUCUCAAGCAUCAAAUCAAUGCAAUGCGCGGCACACGGUGUCCACCACAUACGUGGCCUCUUCUCCAUUAACAUCCUCCCCGCCGCCUUAUAAUUAGAUGCAUUGUCAGUGACUACUUGAAUGACAAGGUCUUCUCCCACUUCCUCAACAACCUCAUCAAGUAGUUUAAACAUCAAAGUAGCAUCUUUAAUUGCAUCAGAUGCAUCAACAGAUUUCAAAAAUACAGUUCCAUGGGGGUUGUUUACAAGAAAGUUUAUUAGCUGUCUUCCCCUAAUAUCUUUCCAACCAUCCGACAAGAUUGACACCCCCGUAUGUGCCCAAGUCUUUUUUACCUCCUCAACAAAGGCCUUUGUAGUCUUCUCUUCCUCCUUCAAUAUCCAAGAGCUAAGCUCGUAUGGGGUAGGGGGUUUCAAAGCACGACCAUAGUUCCCAAUAGAUCGACACAUAUUUAUAAAUGAAGGACUAUCAGCAACAUUGAAGGGAAUCCCGUUUUCAAAGAAGAAUCGACCUAUAUCAAGACAGACUGCAUUACGAGCCUCCUUUGAAAAUACGGUACGCCUUGUAGUAGCAUCAUCAUCACCAGCAUCAACAUCCACAACAAAUCUGUCCAUGGGUCCCCGAACUCCCCUCUCGGAGGCACUACCCACGCUUGAACCUCCCAUUCCCAAGGAUGGAUGACUACCAUAAUAAGACCCACUUUGUAUUUUUUCAGCUUCAUCUAUUUGUCUUUCCUCCUUGGAGUCCAUAUUUUUCUUCAUAUAUGAAGCAAGCUCUUCCUUCACUUCAUUUGGUACUUUUUUGCAAGCCUCGACAUUACUAUGAUUUCCCACAAGAUGAUUUUUCAACCUUGUAAUCCCUCCUUUGCAAAUUUUCUUACAAAAAUUGCAUUCCACAUAUAAAUGAGCUUUAUUAACUCCAGGGGCUACGGUGCCAUAUUUCCAUGCAGGAUCUUUCUUACCCAUUAUCUUAAUUCACUGUAAGUCUGUAAUAAAAAAACCAAAUAUAAGAAUACAAUAUAUGUUAAAUAUAUGUUAAUCACAGAAUAUAUAACAUAACUUUGUUAAUAUAUCAUAUAUGUUAUUUUGUUAAUACUUAAUAUAUAACAGAACUUAAAAAAUCAUAAUAGGAAUUAAAAAAAUUUAACAGAACUUAAAAAACCUCAACAGAAAUUAAAAAAAUUUAACAGAUUUAAAAACCUCAACAUAAAUUAAAUUUUUUUUAAAAGAAAUUUAAUUUUUUUAACAGAAAUUAAAAAACCUAAACAGAAAUUAAAAAAGUUUAACAGAAAUUAAAGAAAAAGAAAACCGAAUAAGAUAAAGAAAAAGAAAACAGUCGAUCAGCCAAGAGGAGAAGAAAACAGUCGAUCGUGAAGAGGAGAAGAAAGAGGAGACACCACUCAGGGUCGCGAAGAGGAGAAGAAAGAGGAGAAGAGGAGAAAGUCGCGAAGAGGAGAAGAUACCUGUUCAAGUCGCGAAGAGGAGAGGCGAAGUCGCGAAGAGGAGAGACGAAGUUGCGCAGAGGAUGAGAGGAGAGCAGUCGAUCAGCCAAAUCUCGGUAAGCCCAAAUGAAUAUUAAAUCAAAUCUGUUAUUUAGGGUUUUUUUUUAAGUCAAAUUGAGGUGCACGCCUCGCGACGCCUUGAGGCUUAAGCCUCAGCCGAAAAAGGCCCAAGUCUCACCCAUUCCAGAAAAGGCGCCCGCCUCGCACCAUCCUUCUCCCGCCUCGCUACAAGGCGCGCCUCGAGGCGCACGCCUCAAACGCUAUUUCGAACCUUGAUUGGAUGCUCAGGACUAUAAUAUAGAUAUUAGACUUUCUGCCAAAUUGAUAAUUUAAUGUUGAUUGUUUAAUUUGUUAUCCUUUUAAUAUUAUGUUGAGGAAAAUGAAUUGAUUUGGUAUAAAUUUUAAUUCUUUUGUUAAAAUAAUUGAAAGUUUUAUGUAGCUCAGGUGGUUUGAUGAUCAAAGUUUCAAAUUUGAGGUUUUGGGUUCGAUUCUUGGGGAAACUAAGUUUUUUAACAAUUAAUUGGAAAAUGCACAGGUAAGCGGUUCCACAUGGCAAAAAUGUCCAUGUCAUCGGUGCCACGUGUGCCACGGAGGCAGGUCAACGCACAUGUGGCGCCUGGGGGGUCAAUAUCCAAAUUUUUGAACAGAAAGGAGCUCGGUUUGCAUUGACAAAAAAAAGGGGGCUCAAUACCCAAAAACACCUAAAGUUCAGUGGUCACAUUUUAUGGAUGAUUUCAAUGUAAAUAGUUUAUUUAGUAGACAUGAUUAGGAUAUAUAUACAUAUUUAAUUACAUUACUAGAAUAUUGUAAAGCUUUAAUUUUUAGUAGUAGAUUAUUAUUAGAGAGUUGUUUCCUUACUAAAUUAGAUUACCUAGAAUUUUACUUGGCCUACAAGUAUUAGGGUUUUUCUUUUUCAUAUAUAAACAGUUGUAAUCUAUUAUUAUUGAAUGAUUGAUAUUAUUGCAUUUUAAGCCUUGUGUUUGUGGCUUUUAGCUUAAUUAUCUCAUUUGAAUCCCCUUUAUUCUUUCUCGUAUUUUUGCUCUACAUCAAGUUUUCUCAAAUGGAUGGAAGAAUGAUGAGAGAAAAAUAAGAUUAAAAGUAUUUAUUAUCAAAUAUUUUGUGUUAUAAUUUAGAGAUAAAGAUAUUGAAAUUAUUAAUUACAUUUUAUUAUAUUAGGUAGAUUAUUCUAAUUAUAGCAUAUACUAGGAUUUUGUUUCUUUCUUUAGUUAAGUUUUACUUGUUCGUUAAGUUUAGGGUGUAUAUUUAGUCUUAUAUAAAGAGAUGUAAUGUUUCAUUACUAUUCAUAUAUUCAAUGAUUGUUUAUUAUACAUUUUAAGCCUAAUUCUUGAGGCUUUUGCUAGUUACGUGGCACACACAUUAUCUAUGCAAAUAAUAAAAGUAGAAAUAAAAAUUAAUAGGUGAGAGAAAUUAGGAGUAAUGGACAAUGGGAGUGGGAGAGAAGUUUCGAUAAAAUAUGAGAACAUUAGGAGUAAAAAAAUUGGGAGAUAUUAGAAACAGAAGUCCAAGAGUCCAAAAAUAACCUCCCUUGCUCUCCAUAUAGACUAUCCAUCUUUCCAUCUUGUCCUACAUCAACUAUUAUUCUUGACCGAUAUUCAAUUAUUCUCUUUCAUAAUUCAUUGUACAUCUCAUGAGCUUAAUGUCUCAAUAGCUAGAGUAACUUUGCAUAUCUCCCUUGUCUUAUAAACUUGCAUUACCGUACUCAUCUGGCAUCUUCUAGUCUGUAGAAUCUUUUUAUUAGACUGACAAGUCAACCAAACAAAGGUCACAUCCUAAGACACCUCCAAACUUCAAUAGGAAUAUGCAACUAAUAGGAAUAAUAUACAAUUAAACCAAACGAAUUUUGAAAAAUUUUAUUACUAAGCAACUAAUAGAAAAUCCAAGUAACUAAAGUACUAAUCCUACAUUUUUCGAAAAAAUUUAAGAAAAAUAUUUGUACUCAUAAUAUAUAUAUAUAAAAUAUUGGGCCUAACUGAAAGGAAAGUAGUAAACAGGGGAAAACGUGCAAAGGAUGAAUGUGCAGCAGUUAAUUUCCGGAAGUGGAAAACAGUAGGGUGUAUUUGGUAAUUUGCCAAGAAAGCAAAAAGAGAAAUACGGCUAGGGCUAGGGCUUACCUUCCUUAUGCCUCUUUUCUCACAAGCAAACAAGUGUGGCUUAAUAAGAUAAAAGGCAAUGGGAGUGGCAACUCACAGCAGCAGCAAUAACUUCGUCGGUACGGUCGGUACGGUAGCAACAACACGAGUCGGCGGAACAAGAUCUUCUUUCGCCUUCUCCUCUGUAUCCUCUCUUCUUCACUUUUCUUCCUUCUUUCUUUGUCUUUUUUCUUUUUAUGGAUCUGUUUGUAAGGAACAGAGAAAUAGAAUAUGAAUUUGAGAAGAAUUAAAAGAGAAAUUUGGGGAAGAAAAAGAAGACAAAAGAGAAUAAGGAGAUAGAACCGCAGAGAGGAAGGAAAUAUCACAUUAUCAUUCACUAAUUCCAAAUAGAAUUACAACUCAAUUAUAUAUCUACUUAGAAUACCACUAUGCCCCCACUAAUUCCUAUAUUUAUUUUUAUAUCCUUGCCUAUUCCUGCUCCUCAAAAACACCCAUGCCCUCUCAAUGGUGGGGUUUAUCACGAACAAGUGACUUAAACUAUGAAAACGACAAAUACCAGCUAUACUAGAGACUCCUUGAUUUUCAGCAGCUGCAGAUUGUACAUUAGUGAGUGAUUGAGCACAAAAACUCAUUGAUUGUGCAUCUGUCAGAUUGUAUGCUGAAUUCAUGCAGUAGCUAAUGUGGAACUCAUUUUCAGUACUACCACAUAGAGUAACUAUUGCAUCAACUUGGUUUUAAUUAAUUUUGUAACGUUACCCUCAAAAUGGAAUUGAAGAGCCUCUCCAACAAUGGUUAGUAAAAUCAUCCCUCCGUGUGCACUUUGAAAAUUUCCACCAAUGGCGCUCCCUGCUAUCAAUUUCCUAUCUAUAAGCAAAGGAAAAGCCGGUAGCUCAAUGACUUAACUGGUGCACCAAGUAUGAUCUGCUUUCCAUGUGGCUUGAACAAGUUAAUCAAUUGCAAAAUUGGAUGAUCUGCCUAUACAUUAUUUAUAUUACCAUCCAUUUUGCCUGUAGCAGCCUCCAUCUGAUUUGGAUCAUGGCUAAUCACAAAAAAAUGUGCCUAGAUGUUCAAGAGCUUCUUGUUCCUUGGCACAAUAGAUAACUAACUUGUAAUUACCACCAACACUAAUGGUUUCACCAACUUUACCAGUCACCAUUUUGAUAUCCAAGAUGGUUGUUGCAAACUUCAUUAAAACAGUCCCAUUAGUAACAUAUAUCAAUAGCCAACAUUUAAUUUCUUGCACCUGAUGUGGUAGCCUCAAUUGCCGCAUUUAAUUUGUUCAACUGUUUCAUCACAACUGUCAUAUCUUUCAAGGCGCUAUCAACUUGACCACUGGACUUUAUUGCUGACCAGAACAUGGAAAUUGUCCUACUGGGAUUCUUGUCCACCAACUUCUCUGCAGUCCACUCAUCAAGCUCACUUCCCUUGAUAAUAUCAGCAUGACAGUGGAUGUUGGUUUCAACAGGAAAUUUUCCCACGGAGAAGUUGCUCACAUCAUUGUUGAGGAAAAAUUUCCAAACAAGUAGGCAACCAAAUUUUUCCAUAUAUAAUUCCAAAAUAAUAACCAGAAGUUGCAAAGCUUUUUUAGACUUUCCUGGCACCUGUCCCCAAAAUGUUUUAACAAUGAUCCAUAAAAGAACUUCAACAGUACAACAGACAACAAUGUAUUCUAAUUUGUUAAGAGCAAACUUUUCUUCACAUCAAUGGUGCUAGUCAACAUGUCACAGCCAUAAAAAAUAACAGCUGAAACUAUAGGUAUAUUCCCACUCAGAUCAAAAAUAAACAUCCUCAUUUCCUCAAUUUUAAGUUUUACCAGUCCUGAUGCUUGCUGAUUAUCCAUGAGUUCAUCCUUCAUCUUAAAUUUGAAAUUGCAGUAAUAUCCGCUCGAAGCAAAAACAAUCAUGUUCAACAUUUGGCAUUAAAUGAAUCGUCCCUAAAGCUUCCCUUUUAGACAUUUUAACAAACUUUUCCCGCACCAAAAAUGCACUACCAAAUUUUGCGCAGUGACUCACAAUUGUAGUCUCAAACAUAUCUGUGACAAUUAUUUUGGAAUCACAAAUCAAACCCAAUUCAGCAGCAAUGUAAGCUAAACUACUUUGCACCUGUACGGCGUGAUUAAUAACACGGUAUUGAUAAAAAUAAGGGUUGCUUCAACCACCAGGGUCAAAAAUAAGAGCAAGAAACUUGUUUCUACCAUCACUGGGCAUUUCAUCACUAACCGGUAGUCUACCCAAUACAACAGCCUUUGUCUGAACCAUACUAAUAAGUCAACUUUAUAAUAUGAGUUGAUACCUUCAUGAGAAAGGUCACCUAAUAUAAGACCGUGAUUUCUAAAGAAAAGCUGGGGUAUACCUUGGAUGUAAUCAC